CCUACGGGGGGCUGCAGUGGGGAAUAUUGGACAAUGGGGGCAACCCUGAUCCAGCCAUGCCGCGUGUGUGAAGAAGGCCCUCGGGUUGUAAAGCACUUUCAGUGAGGAAGAACGCCUGGUGGUUAAUACCCAUCAGGAAAGACAUCACUCACAGAAGAAGCACCGGCUAACUCCGUGCCAGCAGCCGCGGUAAUACGGAGGGUGCGAGCGUUAAUCGGAAUUACUGGGCGUAAAGCGCGCGUAGGUGGCUUGAUAAGCCGGUUGUGAAAGCCCCGGGCUCAACCUGGGAACGGCAUCCGGAACUGUCAAGCUAGAGUGCAGGAGAGGAAGGUAGAAUUCCCGGUGUAGCGGUGAAAUGCGUAGAGAUCGGGAGGAAUACCAGUGGCGAAGGCGGCCUUCUGGACUGACACUGACACGGAGGUGCGAAAGCGUGGGUAGCAAACAGGAUUAGAUACCCUGGUAGUC
rnacentral:rRNA from 1 species